CAUUCAAGUUCAAAGAGAUCGCUCCACCUGAGCAGUCUUAAUGUCUGCUCCAAAGAGGUCUAUUUGGAACUAAUUUGAGGCAGCAACGACUGCAACUGAAUAAGAAUCACUACCAGGACAGAUAUAUAUUUUAGGAAGAGAAUGGUGUCAUGGAGAAGGUUACCAGGUCUCUUUCCAACCGUGCUGUUUCUUGUAUCCACUGCGAAUAUCUUCCUUGUGUUUUAUGUGAAGAAUGUAAUACAAGAACUGAAAAAUGAAAGCCACAGAUACUUAGCGGUUCACCCCCGAUCUUUCAGCCAAGAAAAUGCAGUAAUUGAGCGGCUGGACCAUUUGGAGAUGUAUAUUCACAACAUCUCAGCCAAUUUCAUGAAAAAGCCCUCUCAUAAUGAAAGAAACAAACAGAAAGAAGAUGACAUAAAGCUGCCAGAGGAGUCAAAGGGUGAAAUGCACCAGGCUGAGAAAGCAAAGGAGGAAGACAAAAUGGAAAAGAAGGUUGUGCACAGAAAGCUGUUUCCAGAUUCAAAGCUGUUCAAGCGCUGGGGUGCAGAUUUAACAGAAGAGCAACAAACCACAGCCCAGGAUCUAUUCACUAAAUAUGGGUAUAAUGUUUAUCUCAGUGACCGUCUGCCCCUGGAUCGGACUAUUCCAGACACCAGAUAUCCCAGCUGUAAAGUGAAAAAAUAUCCCCACGACCUCCCAACACUUAGUGUCAUUCUUAUAUUCAUGAAUGAGGCAAUGUCGAUCAUCUUACGUGCAAUUACUAGUAUAAUUAACCGAACGCCUUCUCAUUUGCUGAAAGAAAUUGUCCUGGUAGAUGAUUACAGCUCGAAUGAGGAUCUAAAAGGACAUUUGGAUGAACAGAUAAAAAAUUACAAUGCAAAACACCCUGGAUUGCUAAAAAUUGUGAGGCAUCAGAAGAGAGAAGGCCUAACACAAGCUCGGAUUUCCGGCUGGGAAGCAUCUACUGCCGAUGUUGUCGCAAUCUUGGAUGCCCAUAUUGAAGUGAAUGUUGGCUGGGCUGAACCUAUUCUGUCUCGAAUUAAGGAGGAUCGCACUAUUAUAAUAUCACCGGUAUUUGACAAUGUUCGCUUUGAUGACUUCGAACUUCUUGAGUAUGCUGUGGCUGCAGAUGGAUUUGACUGGGCACUAUGGUGCCUCUAUGAACCAUUACCAAAAGAAUGGUAUGCGCUCAAAGAUGAAACGGCUCCAGUCCGGAGUCCUUCUAUUAUGGGGAUACUUGCUGCACAUAGAGUGUUUCUGGGUGAGAUUGGGGUACUGGAUGGCGGAAUGCAUAUAUACGGAGGGGAAAAUGUGGAACUUGGCCUGCGGGUUUGGCAGUGUGGGGGUCAAAUAGAAGUCUUGCCCUGUUCAAGAGUUGCUCACCUGGAAAGAGCGCACAAACCCUACAUGCUGGACUUGAGCAUUGCUAUGAGACGCAACGCCCUGAGAGUGGCUGAAGUGUGGAUGGACAACUAUAAAUACAUGGUUUAUUUCGCAUGGAAUCUUCCUAUUGAGAAUCCUGGAAUAGACUAUGGAGAUGUUUCUUCCAGAAAGGAGCUAAGAAAGAAACUGAACUGUAAAAGCUUUGACUGGUACAUAAAGAACAUUUAUCCUAACUUAAUACCUUUGACCACCAUUGUUGGCUAUGGAACAAUGAAAAACACUCUGAAUGAGAACAUCUGCAUAGAUCAAGGCCCUGUCCCUGGAAACACUCCAAUAAUGUAUGGCUGUCAUGCUUACUCACCACAGCACUUGUUUUAUCUCAGCACUGGAGAAAUGUAUAUAGGAGGUCUACGAUCUCGACAGAACACAGUAGAUCGUUGCUUAACUGAUCCUGACACAGGAGACCUGCCAUUUAUAGAGCAAUGUAAUGAGGCUGUGAAAAAGGGACUGAACAUGCAUUGGGAUUUUAAGCAGGGAUCAUCUGUGAUGAACAAGAAAACUAAGAGAUGCCUCGAAAUUGUAAAGGAUAAUCCAUCUUCGCCUUACAGACUUGUAAUGCAGAACUGCACUGGACAAAAAUGGAAUGUUCAACACACAGUUAAGGAUUGGGGCAAGAGAAGUGCUCUGAGAUAGCUUAUUUAUCUCAACCAACAGAUGACCUGGCAUUGAUUCUAGGAAGCGGGGAAAUUGGGAUCACCAGAAAAACACAUUCUUCAGAGGUUUCCAAAGAAGAGCAAGACAUCUGUUGCUAGGACAUUACACAAUGGAGAUUAUCUCAGGUAGACUCUAUAACAUUUUGGGGAGCACAUUUAUUGGUAUGGAGGAAUGUAUGCUCUGAAUUAUGGGAGGAUAUGGGCACAUAAACAGGAGGGUGAUGGACACAUGUACCAUAGGUAGGUAGUUAUCGUUGUGUGUAUUUAAGUUGACCGUCAGUGAGGAUAAACUGGAACCAAAGACUGGAUGAGAGAAAAUUGAUCUUGUAUAGAUCAUUCGGGCGGGAGCUUGAAGAUUCUGUGGUAGAAGGGAAACUAAGGAAAUGCAAACAGAGAUGUUAUAAAGCAGGGGGUCUCAAACUGGGGGUUGCAAGUUCGCCACAUGAGGGGUUGCAAGCUGUCAGCCUCCACCACAAACCCCGCUUUACAUCCAGCAUUUAUAAUGUUAUAAAGUGUUUUUAAUUUAAAAGGGGGAUCGCACGCAGAAGCUUGCUAUGUGAAAGGGGUCACCAGUACAAAAGUGUGAGAACCACUGUUAUAAAGGAUGUGUUAUUCAGAGGUGACCAGGACCUACAGCUCCCAUUGACUUCAUUUGGAAAGCUGGUUGUUCAGUACCUCUCAAAAUCAGAACUAAGGUAGUGGUGUUGUUGUUUGUUGUGUGUUUUUUUUACAAUGUGAGCCUUCUAAAUAAGUGGCCUGAUUUUUCAAAAAUGUUGAGCUCCCAUUGAAAUCAAUAAACUACUUGCACUGGCCUCUUAUUUUUGAAGAUCUUGGUUGAGACCUAUACAUGAUAUCUGUACCCUGCCUUUUAUAUUCAGGAGGCCUUCAGUGGAUGGGAAAUCACCCUGCUUUCAGCUUGACCUUUAUACAGUCAUCUAAUCUAUUAACUAGUGAUGCAAUGGAGUGGUGACUUGUUGGCUUCUGGGAGCUCCUUGUCAAAAGCCUGCAGCUAAACUGAAGUGAAGGCUGGGGUGAUUUGCCUGCCUCCAGAGGAGUUACCCCCAUUCUGUAGAUA